rnacentral:tRNA from 1 species
UGCGGGCGAGUGGAGCAGCCCGCGUCGCCAGUCGGACCAUCCCCCGGAUGGUCCUUGGUGGCUCCGCCUCGUCAGGCUCAUAACCUGAAGGUCGCAGGUUCAAAUCCUGCCCCCGCAACCA